ACUCCUACGGGAGGCAGCAGUGGGGAAUAUUGCACAGUGGGCGCAAGCCUGAUGCAGCAACGCCGCGUGAGGGAUGACGGCCUUCGGGUUGUAAACCUCUUUUAGUAGGGAAGAAGCGAAAGUGACGGUACCAACAGAAAAAGCACCGGCUAACUACGUGCCAGCAGCCGCGGUAAU
rnacentral:rRNA from 1 species